UACGAAGGACCCGAGCGUUAUCCGGAUUUAUUGGGUUUAAAGGGUGCGUAGGCGUCCUGGAAAGUUACGGUUGAAAUCUCCUUGCUCAACAAGGAAACUGGCCGUAAAACUAUCAGGAUUGAGUACAUUUGAAGCGGGCGGAAUGUGUCAUGUAGCGGUGAAAUGCACAGAUAUGACACAGAACACCAAUUGCGAAGGCAGCUCGCUAAACUGUAACUGACGCUGAGGCACGAAAGCGUGGGGAUCAAACAGG
rnacentral:rRNA from 1 species